UGAGGAAUAUUGGUCAAUGGGCGGAAGCCUGAACCAGCCAAGUAGCGUGCAGGAAGACGGCCCUAUGGGUGUAAACUGCUUUNAUACGAGAAUAAUUUGANCACGUGUGCGUUAUUGCAUNUAUNGUAUGAAUAAGGACCGGCUAAUUCCGUNNUGCAGCCGCGGUAAUACGGAAGGUCCAGGCGUUAUCCGGAUUUAUGGGUUAAAGGGAGUGUAGGCGUUUUGUUAAGNGUGUUGUGAAAUUUAGAUNCUCAACAUUUAACUUNCAGCGCGAACUGUCAGACUUGAGUACACGCAACGUAUGCGGAAUUCAUGGUGUAGCGGNGAAAUGCUUAGAUNUCAUGAAGAACUCCGAUUGCGNAGGCAGCNAACGGGAGUGUAACUGACGCUUAAGCUCGAAGGUGCGGGUAUCGAACAGGAUUAGAUACCCUGGUAGUCCGCACAGUAAACGAUGGAUGCCCGCUGUUAGCGCCUGGCGUUAGCGGCU
rnacentral:rRNA from 1 species